rnacentral:rRNA from 1 species
CCUACGGGAGGCAGCAGUGGGGGAUAUUGCACAAUGGGGGAAACCCUGAUGCAGCGACGCCGCGUGAGUGAAGAAGUAUUUCGGUAUGUAAAGCUCUAUCAGCAGGGAAGAAAAUGACAGUACCUGAACAAGAAGCCCCGGCUAACUACGUGCCAGCAGCCGCGGUAAUACGUAGGGGGCAAGCGUUAUCCGGAUUUACUGGGUGUAAAGGGAGCGUAGACGGUUAUGUAAGUCUGGAGUGAAAGCCCGGGGGCCAACCCCGGGACUGCUUUGGAAACUGUGUAACUGGAGUACAGGAGGGGCAGGCGGAAUUCCUGGUGUAGCGGUGAAAUGCGUAGAUAUCAGGAGGAACACCAGCGGCGAAGGCGGCCUGCUGGACUGAAACUGACGUUGAGGCUCGAAAGCGUGGGGAGCAAACAGGAUUAGAUACCCGGGUAGUC